GUUUGGCUCUAUUUCUAUGGAACUGAAAACGGACACUUUUUCUGCCGAACACCGCUGAAACAACGGAACGCCUGGCUGCCUCCACGAAAGCAUGCGAACACCGGCCGUUCGAGAGAUUGAGAGCAUACGAAAAGACUUAACCCAGAUAGCCUUCCCAUGGAGUCAUUAGUAUACCGAAAGACUGUAAGAACUUUGACUCCAUGGCGAUUGAAC
rnacentral:lncRNA from 1 species